UACGUAGGUGACAAGCGUUGUCCGGAUUACUGGGCGUAAAGAGCGCGCAGGCGGUCGUUCAAGUCGAGUGUGAAAGCCCCCGGCUCAACUGGGGAGGGUCAUUCGAUACUGAUCGACUCGAAGGCAGGAGGAGGGUAGUGGAAUUCCCGGUGUAGUGGUGAAAUGCGUAGAUAUCGAGAAGAACACCGGUGGCGAAGGCGGCCAUCUGGACGGAUACUGACGCUGAGACGCGAAAGCGUGGGGAGCAAACAGG
rnacentral:rRNA from 1 species